rnacentral:rRNA from 1 species
AACUCUGCCUGAAGAUUGUCGUCUGAGUGAAAAUAUAAAUUAUUUAAAACUUUCAACAACGGAUCUCUUGGUUCCGGCAUCGAUGAAGAACGCAGCGAAAUGCGAUACGUAAUGUGAAUUGCAAAUUCAGUGAAUCAUCGAGUCUUUGAACGCACAUUGCGCCCCCUGGUAUUCCGGGGGGCAUGCCUGUCCGAGCGUCAUUGCUGCCCUCAAGCCCGGCUUGUGUGUUGGGCCCCGUCCUCCGAUUCCGGGGGACGGGCCCGAAAGGCAGCGGCGGCACCGCGUCCGGUCCUCGAGCGUAUGGGGCUUUGUCACCCGCUCUGUAGGCCCGGCCGGCGCUUGCCGAUCAACCCAAAUUUUUAUCCAGGUUGACCUCGGAUCAGGUAGGGAUACCCGCUGAACUUAAGCAUAUCAAUAA